GCAAACUUGGUCAUUUAGAGGAAGUAAAAGUCGUAACAAGGUUUCCGUAGGUGAACCUGCGGAAGGAUCAUUACUGAGUACCGGGUCUCUAAGGCCCUUACUCCCACCCCAUGUGUACCUUCUAUUUCUUUGGUUGCCUUGGUGGUUAAGCCCCUAAGUCCUUGCGGAUUUAGGCGGCUCCACCAGGGGGACCGCCCCUAAACUCUUUGUUAAUGGAGCAGUCUGAGAAUCAAACAAAUAAAUUAAAACUUUCAACAACGGAUCUCUUGGUUCUGGCAUCGAUGAAGAACGCAGC
rnacentral:misc_RNA from 1 species